UUUCACUUCAUUGAUUCAGUCAAAGCAUAUCUUUCGUAUGCUCUUCUGCGAGCAUUUGUCUCUUCAUCUCCAGUUGUUUUUCAGUAUGCUUGUGGUAUGUUUUCAGUUCUGUUGCUCCGGUU